rnacentral:rRNA from 1 species
AUACAGAGGGUGCGAGCGUUAAUCGGAAUUACUGGGCGUAAAGCGCGCGUAGGCGGCUUGGUCAGUCGGAUGUGAAAGCCCCGGGCUCAACCUGGGAAUGGCAUUCGAUACUGCCAGGCUAGAGUAUGGGAGAGGGAAGUGGAAUUUCCGGUGUAGCGGUGAAAUGCGUAGAUAUCGGAAGGAACACCAGUGGCGAAGGCGACUUCCUGGCCCAAUACUGACGCUGAGGUGCGAAAGCGUGGGGAGCGAACAGGAUUAGAAACCCUUGUAGUCC